AAUAAUACUAAGAUUGAUCUUGUUCUUGUCAAUUCUUGUUUGUACAAUAUUUUAAUUGUUGGUACAAAAGAUGGUGGCACUUGUGUAUAGUGGAAAUUUGAAAUAAUCAACUUCCUACAAACUAAUGACAUGACAAGUUAAUUUCGGUCUACAAACAGUCUUAAAUAUUCUAAUAGAAUUACUAGAAAGUUUGAAUCAUAGUAAUGUCAUACAAUUUUUGUUUAGAAUAAAAGUCCUAAAUAUUUAUAUUAAUCUCUAUGUAUUUUUAUAUAUUCUAACCAAAAGAUUAUUUUAAAAAGAAGUAUCUUUGUUUUGAAAGGUAUUUUUUUGAAAAAAUAACAAAAAACAUAAAAAGUACAACAGUGAUGCUAAGGAUUGUGUGUUAGAAUGUGAUUAUACUUCUAUUAAUCAAUGAAUAUUAAUUUGAAAUAAUAAUCUACUCUUAAUUUUUUUUUAAAAUGCAUAAGUUCGAUAAAACAAUAUAGUGUUUGGAGUGGAUUUACAAAAUGAAUUAAAAAUAAAUUGGUCAAUGAUUUUUAAUUUUAUAAGUGCAUUACAAAUAUAUGAUGGUGCAAAACAAUGAUUGUUAAGAUUUUAGAGAUAUUAUUAGCAAAGAUUUCAAAAUGUAAGAUUGUAUGAUUAAUAUGAAAGUUUUAUUGUUGAUAUAUAUGUAUAUAUAUAUACCAAGAAAAAUAAGAUAUUUUUGAAUAAAAGUAUUGUAGGUUAAAACUAAAAAUUAGUAGUAUUUGUAUUGAAAUGUGUAUGCUUGUGGCAAGAUAAACAUACAAAGAGUAAUAAAUAAAUAAAAAUAUAGAUAGUAAACAAUGAAGUGGUGACAUUUAUUAAUUGUAUUUAGAUCAUAAAAUGAAUUAUUUCUACCUCAAGUUCUUUCACAAGAGAAAAUACUUUAUUCAAUAAUUAAGGUGCUUAUAUACUAAUGUCUCACAUUGUAUUGGAUGACAAGCAACAACAUUAUUAUUUUUUGAUAUGAAAUCAAUUCAAAACAUGCAUAAUGUAUAUCUAAAACUAAUGAUAAAUAAAAAUUAACAAAAAUCACAGCAUGUGAUUCAUUUCUUGGAAAUCGUCUAUUAACUGCAACAACUAUAUAUACAUAUAUAUAUAUAUAUAUAUAUAUAUAUUCACACACACAUAAUUUUUUAUUUUAUUUUAUUUUAUUUUUUUCAAUUAAACUACUCUGGCAAUUCCUCAUUUUGGCAUACUUCAGAAACUGAUUGUAAGAAUGAAAACACACGAAUCGUUUUGGAGAGCAAUGGAAAGAGUGAGUUGACAAUCACCGUAGCAUGACCCUACACACAACAACACCAUAAGUGAAACAAAAAGGAGGCGUUGAAUUGAAUUGAAUUGAAUUAAAUUGAAUUGAAUUAAAUUGAAUGAAGCAAUGAAAACAGUUGAGAAUGAGUGAUUGUGAGAAGAUCAGGCCCCAUUUUCCUGUCCUGUGGAGCAUCUCAAAAAAGAAUAGAAAUAAAAGCACAAAAAAAAAAGAGGGUGGAUGGACCCCAAUCUCGAGAAUAUACCUAAUUCCAGGAAUGGCAGCCCCGCCUGCUCAUUCCUUCACGAUUUGAUGCUCUCCGCCGAGUGCCGCUCCGAAGAUGCCGUCUCACCUUCUAAAAAAAACCAUAAAAAUAUGAAAAAAAAUAAAAAAUAAACAGCCCAUUUCUGCAUCAGCAACUGUGAGUGUGUAGGUUCUAGCGCUUCGCCUUGGACAAUGCUCCAGGCGUGUCCAAGUGCAUUUCCGUGGGUCUUUCCUCUUAUCCUCGGCGACCGUGAUGGUGACGAUCAGUGAAUCGGUGCACUGGACUUGAAGUGUCGUCUGUG
rnacentral:lncRNA from 1 species